CAGUAGCCGCGGGAAUACGGAGGGUGCAAGCGUUAAUCGGAAUUACUGGGCGUAAAGCGUGCGUAGGUGGUGGUUUAAGUCCGUUGUGAAAGCCCUGGGCUCAACCUGGGAAUUGCAGUGGAUACUGGGUCACUAGAGUGUGGUAGAGGAUAGUGGAAUUUCCGGUGUAGCAGUGAAAUGCGUAGAGAUCGGAAGGAACAUCUGUGGCGAAGGCGACUAUCUGGGCCAACACUGACACUGAGGCACGAAAGCGUGGGGAGCAAACAGGAUUAGAUACCCCAGUAGUCCCUGUCUCUUAUAA
rnacentral:rRNA from 1 species